rnacentral:lncRNA from 1 species
AAAGAUGACCCAAAUAUCCACAUUCUUAAAAGAAUCCACACCCCCCCCCCAUCCCCCAUCCCCCAUGGCAGGAGAAACAGUCAAGUUUUUCCUUCCCAUCACUCAAUGGCUCAAUCGCAUCACUCUCCCGGCAACACCGUAACGAGGAGCAACUUGCCGUUUGGAUAUAUCCUAGCUGUGUUUGUGCCCUCACUCAUGGUCCAGACUUUUUUCAAAUAGGACAUGUAGUUUGUCUGCAGCGAGUGUUUUGGUAGAAACUGCGCCUCCCAUUCAUUAUAAUGGGAAAUGACCACAGACAAGUGCGCACACCAUCUUUGGACCUUGAGUGUGACGCGAUCGGGAGGGGGAGGCGGUCGCGCUGGGGGCGGCGCAACGCGGCUCGGGCCCGACAGUGCCCCACCGGGGUCCUAGUGUUAUUAUUAGGGCCCGAGCCAGCUGCAGAGCAGCCGGGCGUAGGCCCUGUUAUUCCUGUAGUGGUUUUUCUUUGUUUCUUUUUAGGGCCCGAGCCAGCUGCAGAGCAGCCGGGCGUAGGCCCUAUUAUUCCCCAAGUGGUUUUUCUUUGUUUCUUUCUUUAGGGCCCGAGCCAGCUGCAGAGCAGCCGGGCGUGGAGCCCUAUUAUUCCCCAAGUGGUUUUUCUUUGUUUCUUUCUUUAGGGCCCGAGCGUAGCUGCUAAGCAGCUGCGAGAGCCCUCUUGUUCCUGCAUGUUUCCUUCUUUCGUUAUUAGGGCCCGAGCCAGCUGCAGAGCAGCCGGGCGUAGAGCCCUAUUAUUCCUGUAUAGGUUUUUCUUUCUUCUUUCUUUCUUUCUUUCUUCUUAUUUUUCCUCCCCUUUGAAGGGGAAAAUGGCCCACUUCCCACUGGCGAAAACUCAUGAAAUUUGGCAGGACGAAUGGGCCUGGUGAAAAAUUCGAUAUUCUGAAGUCGCCCAAACAAUAAAAUGCAAAAUGGCUCCAUAGCGCCCCCUAAGGUGAAAAUUCACACUAUUGACUGUCACGCCUUUACGCUUUGUAAUAUUGACACAAAAAUUGACACACACAUGUAUCUCAAUAAGAUCUACAAAAAAGUCAGUGCGGGCGUAUCUGUCAAAUGUACGGUUAAAGGGUUAUUUUGCAUUUUUUGCCGAUCCGCACACAUUGGAAUUUCGCUAACUCCUCCGAAGGCUUUCGUUCCACCGGCACCACAUUUGCUCAGGCCAAUCUACACCCCAUGGCCAUUAAAAGUUGUACAAAUCAUGACGCUGCACCCCACGGUUUACGUUCUAGGGGGCGCCAAAGAUAACCCAAAAAUCCACAGUCUUAAAAGUCUUAUAACUUUUUAUUUUUGUCCUCACUGGCCUCCAAGUUCUCUAGGAUGAUGCAAUGUCCAGCCAUCAACACAUUUGUGAAGGAAUUUUUACUCGCCAAAAGAGCGCCCCCCAUGGCAGGAGAAAAAAGUCCAUUUUUUCUUGUCUCCUAAGGCGAAAAUUCACACUAUUGACUGUCACGCCUUUACGCUUUGUCAUAUUGACACAAAAAUUGACACACACAUGUAUCUCAAUAAGAUCUACGAAAAAGUCAAUGCGAGCGUAUCUGUUCAAUGUACGAUUAAAGGGCUAUUUCGCAUUUUUUGCCGAUUCGCACACAUUGGAAUGUGGCUAACUCCUCCUAAAUCUUUUGUCCCAUCGGCUUCAAAUUUGCUCAGGUCAAUCUACACCCCAUGGCCAUUCAAAGUUGUACAAAUCAUGACGCUGCACCCCACAGUUUACGUUCUAGGGGGCGCCAAAGAGGACCCAAAUAUCCACAUUUUUAAAAGUCUUAUAACUUUUUAUUUUUGUCCUCACUGGCCUCCAAGUUUUCUAGGAUGAUGCAAUGUCCAGCCAUCAACACAUUUGUGAAGGAAUUUUUACUCCCCAAAAGAGCGCCCCCCAUGGCAGGAGAAAAAGUCAAGUUUUUCCUGCCCAUCGCUCAAUGGCUCAAACGCAUCGCUCUCUCGGCAAAACCGAAAGGAGGAGCAACUUGCCAUUUGGAUAUAUACUAGCUGUGUUUGUGCCCUCACUCAUGGUCCAGACUUUUUUCAAAAAGGACAUGGAGUUUGUCUGCAGCGAGCGUUUUGGUAGAAACUGCGCCUCCCAUUCAUUAUAAUGGUAAAUGACCACAGACAAGUGCGCACACCAUCUUUGGACCUUGAGUGUGACGCGAUCGGGAGGGGUAGGCGGUCGCGCUGGGGGCGGCGCGACACGGCUCGGGCCCGCCAGUGCCCCAACGGGGCCCUAGUUAUUUUUCCUCCGCUUUAAACUGGAAAAUGGCCCACUUCCCACUGGCGAAAACUCAGGAAAUUUGGCAGGACGACCGGGCCUGGUGAAAAAUUCGAUAUUCUGAAGUCGCCCAAACAAUAAAAUGCAAAAUGGCUCCAUAGCGCCCCCUAAGGUGAAAAUUCACAUGACGGCUGUACGCUUUGUCAUAUUGACAGAAAAAUUGACACACACGUGUAUCUCAAUAAGAUCUACAAAAAAGUCAGUGCGGCCGUAUCUGUCAAAUGUACGGUUAAAGGGUUAUUUUUCAUUUUUUGCAGAUCUGCACACAUUGGAAUUUCGCUAACUCCUCCGAAGGCUUUCGUUCGACCGGCACCACAUUUGCGCAGGCCAAUCUACACCCCAUGGCCAUUAAAAGUUGUACAAAUCAUGACGCUGCACCCCACGGUUUACGUUCUAGGGGGCGCCAAAGAUAACCCAAAAAUCCACAUUCUUAAAAGUCUUAUAACUUUUUACUUUUGUCCUCACUGGCCUCCAAGUUUUCUAGGAUGAUGCAAUGUCCAGCCAUCAACACAAUUUUGAAGGAAUUUUUACUCCCCAAAAGAGCGCCCCCCAAUGGCAGGAGAAAAAGGUCCAUUUUUUCUUGUCUCCAAAGGUCAAAAUACACAUUGUCGAGUGUCACGUUUGUAUGCUUUGUCAUAUUGACACAAAAUUUGACAAUCACAUGUAUCUCAAUAAGAUCUACGAAAAAGUCAAAGGGCAUGUAUCUGUCAAAUGUACGGUUAAAGGGCUAUUUUGCAUUUUUUGCCGAUCCGCACACAUUGGAAUUUCACUAACUCCUCCGAAGGCUAUCUUUCCACCGGCACCAAAUUUGCUCAGGCCAAUCUACACCCCAUGGCCAUUAAAAGUUGUACAAAUCAUCUUGCUGCACCCCACGUUUUGGGUUCUAGGGGGCACCAAAUAUAACCCAAAAAUCCACAUUCUUAAAAGUCUUAUAACUUUUUAUUUUUUUCCAUACUGGCCUCCAAGUUUUUUAGGAUGAUGCAAUGUCCAGCCAUCAACACAUUUGUGAAGAAAUUUUUACUCCCCAAAAGAGCGCCCCCCAUGGCAGGAGAAAAAAGUCCAUUUUUUCUUAUCCCGAAAGGUGAAAAUACACGUUGUUGAGUGUCACGCCUUUACGCUUUGUCAUAUUGACAAAAAAAUUGACAAUCAUGUGUAUCUCAAUUAGAUCUACGAAAAAGUCAAAGAGCGCGUAUCUGUAUAAUGUACGGUUAAAGGGCUAUUUUGCAUUUUUUGCCGAUUCGCACACAUUGGAAUGUGGCUAUCUCCUCCUAAGGCUUUCGUCCCACCGAUACCAAAUUUGCUCAGGGCAAUCUACACCCCAUGCCCAUUCAAAGUUGUAAAAAUCAUGACGCUGCACCCCACGGUUUACGUUCUAGGGGGCGCCAAAGAUGACCCAAAAAUCCACAUUCUUAAAAGUCAUUUUGGCCACUGCAGGAGUACAGAGUACUGCAGUUCUAGGGGGCGCCAAAGAUGACCCAAAAAUCCACAUUCUUAAAAGUCUUUUUUGGCCACUGCAGGAGUACAGAGUACUGCAGGAUACACACACAUAUACACACACGCCAACAUACACACACACACACACACACACAGACACACACACACACACUCAGAGUCUGGUUUUUAGCACCUUCAAAAACAUGCUGUUUACAUAUUUGACAAGAAUGCAGAGGCUUCCUUUUGCCCCUGAAAAAAAUCAAAUUUCAAACACAACUUGACUGUUCAUUUCUCCAAAAGACAACCAUGAAGCUCCAUUUCAAACCUGAAGCAGAUAGUUGGUGCAUGUGUACAGUAACCUGAGGGGAGUGAGGUGACUAUUUCUGAGGAGAACAUGAGCAGUAAGAUUCACCUUGGAGCUAGAACAGGGACGUGCACAUGAUUAUACAGGGGCAGGGGCUCAAGUUUUUUCCAGUCAUUUAUACAAUAUGGAAAUUAAUGUGAAAUUAAACCACAAAUAUGUGUGAUGAACUGUUUUUAAAACUUAAACUUCAAAUAAAAAUUGUAAACUUCAAAACAUAUGCAAAUUUUUAACAAAGAACAUAGUAAUUUACCUCUAUUUACAUCAAAAUGCAGGCAAUGGCCCAGGCGUUCUUUGUAAAAUUAUUUACAAAACACUGUAUAGUCUCACAAAUGUCACUUUUUAUUUAUGCCACUACAAAAAAACAUGAUGUAAAUGAUGCAUGAUGUAAAACAUGAUGUAAAAAACUUGUGUAGAUCCUCCUCUAUGUCAGUCCAUGUGUAAUUUUUCCAUAAUUCUUUGUUUUUUGCAGCAUUUUUGUUAGUGUAACUGCAGAUUGUGCUGACAGUGUCUAUGGCACAAAAAAAAAAAAAAUUUAAAAUGCCUCAACAUGAACCCCUGGUGGUCUCUGAGGGUGAAACCUGCUAACUGCUGCAGCUCUGUCAGCUUCAGUCUCCCAUGCAGAGCUCUGAGCGCAUGUGUAGCUCUGCACCCUUAGCAGCGUUGCUAACUCCUCAGUAAGGAAAGCCUGCUUCAUGUCAGAGUCUCUAAACUCCAGAAGAAGUCGAUAAAAGUCCCUUUCUUUCUAAAAAAAAGUCGUUAGGGGGUCUGAAAAGUCAUUGAAUCUAACAACAAAGUUGCUAGGUUUGCAACUACGUGUCCCAGACUGCAUCCCUGCUGAGAGUCCCUCCCUCCCUUCUCAUGUUGCAGGAAGAACGUAAGCGCCCGCCCCUUGUCAAUCAGUCACCAUAUAAUUUUGGAUUGGUUGUUGUGGUGAAGUUUUCCACCAAUAGGAGAGAUGUUGUGGUGUGUUUUUUUUUUUUUUGGCAAGCCUUUUCCGCCUGUAAGACCUGUCGCUAAUGUCUGCAUGCUAUGUUUUCCUGUCUCAUACAGCGCGAUCGAGCGCCGAACAUGAUCAAAAUAAGCAGAAAAAAAGUAUCGCGGACAUAAUUUAUCAUAACUCUGGUUUUAUUUGGCCUAUCAACACAAUUUAAAAACUGGUAUAUAGGUUGAGGUCCUCACUUUUGAGAUAAGUUGAAACGGAGAGUCAACGAGGCUCCGUCUUGCAGCUACAUCCGGUUAAAUAUGUCAUGUGACUUGAACGCACACAUAGACACACACACACGCACGCGCACACACACACACACACACACACACACACUUAGAGUCUGGUUUUUAGCACCUGCAAAAACAUGCUAUUUACAUAUUUGACAAGAAUGCAGAGGCUCCUUUUGCCCCUGAAAAAAAUCAAAUUUCAAACACAACUUGACUGGUCAUUUCUCCAAAAGACAACCAUGAAGCUCCAUCCAAACCUGAAGCAGGCAGUUGGUGCAUGUGUACAGUAACCUGAGGGGAGUGAGGUGACUGCUUCUGAGGAGAACAUGAGCAGUGAAGAUUCACCUUGGAGCUAGAACAGAGACAUGCACAUGAUUAUACAGUAGCAGGGGCUCAAAGGGGGGGGGGGGGGGAGACGUGACACGGCUCGGGCCCGCCAGUGCCCCAACGGGGUCCUAGUUUCUUUCUUUCUUUCUUCUUUUUCCUCCCCUUUGAACUGGAAAAUGGCCCACUUCCCACUGGCGAAAACUCAUGAAAUUUGGCAGGACGACCGGGCCUGGUGAAAAAUUCGAUAUUCUGAAGUCGCCCAAACAAUAAAAUGCAAAAUGGCUCCAUAGCGCCCCCUAAGGUGGAAAUUCACACUAUUGACUGUCACGCCUGUACGCUUUGUCAUAUUGACACAAAAAUUGACACACAUAUGUAUCUCAAUAAGAUCUACAAAAAAGUCAGUGCGGCUGUAUCUGUCAAAAUUACGGUUAAAGGGUUAUUUCGCAUUUUUUGCCGAUCCGCACACAUUGGAAUUUCGCUAACUCCUCCGAAGGCUUUCGUACCACCGGCACCACAUUUGCCCAGGCCAAUCUACACCCCAUGGCCAUUAAAAGUUAACAAAAUCAUGACGCUGCACCCCAAGGUUUAGGUUCUAGGGGGCGCCAAAGAUAACACUAAAAUCCACAUAUUUAAAAGUCUUAUAACUUUUUAUUUUUGUCCUCACUGGCCUCCAAGUUUUCUAGGAUGAUGCAAUGUCCAGCCAUCAACACAUUUGUGAAGGAAUUUUUACUCCCCAAAAGAGCGCCCCCCCAUGGCAGGAGAAAAAAGUCAAUUUUUUCUUGUCCCCUAAGGUGAAAAUACACAUUGUUGAGUGUCACGCCUAUACGCUUUGUCAAAAUGACACAAAAAUUGACACACACAUGUAACUCAAUAAGAUCUACGAAAAAGUCAAUGCGCGCGUAUCUGUCAAAUGUACGGUUAAAGGGUUAUUCCGCAUUUUUUGCCGAUCCGCACACAUUGGAAUGUGGCUAACUCCUCCGAAGGCUUUAGUUCCACCGGCACCACAUUUGCUCAGGCCAAUCUACACCCCAUGGCCAUUAAAAGUUAUUCAAAUCAUGACGCUGCACCCCACGGUUUACGUUCUAGGGGGCGCCAAAGAUAACCCUAAAAUCCACAUAUUUAAAAGUCUUAUAACUUUUUAUUUUUGCCCUCACUGGCCUCCAAGUUUUCUAGGAUGAUGCAAUGUCCAGCCAUCAACACAUUUGUGAAGGAAUUUUUACUCCCCAAAAGAGCGCCCCCCAUGGCAGGAGAAAAAAGUCCAUUUUUUCUUGUCCCCUAAGGUGAAAAUACACAUUGUAGAGUGUCACGCCUGUACGCUUUGUCAAAAUGACACAAAAUUUGACAUACACGUGUAUUUCAAUAAGAUCUUCGAAAAAGUCAAUAGCCACGUAUAUGUAAAAUGUACAGUUAAAGGGUUAUUUCACAUUUUUUGCAGAUCCGCACACAUUGGAAUUUGGCUAACUCCUCCUAAGGCUUUCGUCCCACUGACACCAAAUUUGCUCAGGCCAAUCUACACCCCAUGGCCAUUCAAAGUUGUAAAAAUCAUGACGCUGCACCCCACGGUUUACGUUCUAGGGGGCGCCAAAGAUGACCCAAAUAUCCACAUUCUUAAAAGAAUCCACACCCCCAUCCCCCAUCCCCCAUGGCAGGAGAAACAGUCAAGUUUUUCCUUCCCAUCACUCAAUGGC